GAGAGAAACAUUGAUCAACUGUUGCCUCCUGUUCGCACCCUGACCAAGGAUUAAGCCUGCAACCUAGGUAUGUGCCCUGACUAGGAAUCGAACCCACAACCUUUUGUUAUACAGGCUGAUGCUCCAGCCAAGUUAGCCACCCAGACAGGGCUCAGGGGAUUGA